rnacentral:rRNA from 1 species
UACGGGAGUGGCAAGCGUUAUCCGGAAUUAUUGGGCGUAAAGCGUCCGCAGGCGGUCUUGUAAGUCUGUUGUUAAAGCGUGGGGCUUAACUCCAUUUCAGCAAUGGAAACUGUAAGACUAGAGUGUGGUAGGGGCAGAGGGAAUUCCCGGUGUAGCGGUGAAAUGCGUAGAUAUCGGGAAGAACACCAGUGGCGAAGGCGCUCUGCUGGGCCAUAACUGACGCUCACGGACGAAAGCCAGGGGAGCGAAAGGGAUUAGAUACCCCUGUAGUCCUGGCCGUAAACGAUGAACACUAGGUGUCGGGGGAAUCGACCCCCUCGGUGUCGUAGCCAACGCGUUAAGUGUUCCGCCUGGGGAGUACGCACGCAAGUGUGAAACUCAAAGGAAUUGACGGGGGCCCGCACAAGCGGUGGAGUAUGUGGUUUAAUUCGAUGCAACGCGAAGAACCUUACCAGGGUUUGACAUCCUGCGAAUCUUUUGGAAACGAGAGAGUGCCUUCGGGAACGCAGUGACAGGUGGUGCAUGGCUGUCGUCAGCUCGUGUCGUGAGAUGUUGGGUUAAGUCCCGCAACGAGCGCAACCCACGUCGUUAGUUGCCAGCAUUGAGUUGGGCACUCUAGCGAGACCGCCGGUGAUAAACCGGAGGAAGGUGUGGAUGACGUCAAGUCAUCAUGCCCCUUACAUCCUGGGCUACACACGUACUACAAUGCUACGGACAAAGGGCAGCAAACUCGCGAGAGCUAGCAAAUCCCAUAAACCGUGGCUCAGUUCAGAUCGUAGGCUGCAACUCGCCUACGUGAAGGAGGAAUCGCUAGUAAUCGCAGGUCAGCAUACUGCGGUGAAUACGUUCCCGGGCCU